CAGUAAACCUGCAGCAUGCUUGGACCUGCUGAGGCCCUGUGCAUUCCUAAAGUGCUUGCUAGAACAGUUUGCAAAUGAUUUGAGGACCUGGCCUGCUCCAUCCAGAGCAAGGAUACAGACCUUCCGUACAAUU